rnacentral:rRNA from 1 species
AGAGUUUGAUCAUGGCUCAGGGAGGACCUGAUAAGGCACAUGCUGUCGAACGAUGCAUCUCCAGCUUGACAUGGGGGGAUUAGUGGCGAACGGGUGAGUAACACGUGAGUAACCUGCCCUUGACUCUGGGAUAAGCCUGGGAAACUGGGUCUAAUACUGGAUACGACCUUCCAUCGCAUGGUGGUUGGUGGAAAGCUUUUGUGGUUUUGGAUGGGCCCGCGGCCUAUCAGCUUGUUGGUGGGGUAAUGGCCUACCAAGGCGACGACGGGUAGCCGGCCUGAGAGGGUGGACGGCCACACUGGGACUGAGACACGGCCCAGACUCCUACGGGAGGCAGCAGUGGGGAAUAUUGCACAAUGGGCGCAAGCCUGAUGCAGCGACGCCGCGUGAGGGAUGAAGGCCUUCGGGUUGUAAACCUCUUUCAGUAGGGAAGAAGCGAAAGUGACGGUACCUGCAGAAGAAGCGCCGGCUAACUACGUGCCAGCAGCCGCGGUAAUACGUAGGGCGCAAGCGUUAUCCGGAUUAUUGGGCGUAAAGAGCUCGUAGGCGGUUUGUCGCGUCUGCCGUGAAAGUCCGGGGCUUAACCCCGGAUCUGCGGUGGGUACGGGCAGACUUGAGUGAUGUAGGGGAGACUGGAAUUCCUGGUGUAGCGGUGAAAUGCGCAGAUAUCAGGAGGAACACCGAUGGCGAAGGCAGGUCUCUGGGCAUUAACUGACGCUGAGGAGCGAAAGCAUGGGGAGCGAACAGGAUUAGAUACCCUGGUAGUCCAUGCCGUAAACGUUGGGCACUAGGUGUGGGGGACAUUCCACGUUUUCCGCGCCGUAGCUAACGCAUUAAGUGCCCCGCCUGGGGAGUACGGCCGCAAGGCUAAAACUCAAAGGAAUUGACGG